rnacentral:rRNA from 1 species
UACAGAGGUCCCAAGCGUUGUUCGGAUUCACUGGGCGUAAAGGGUGCGUAGGCGGUCGGGUAAGUCUGGCGUGAAAUCUCCAAGCCUAACUUGGAAACUGCGUUGGAUACUAUCCGGCUCGAGGAAUGGAGAGGAGACUGGAAUACUUGGUGUAGCAGUGAAAUGCGUAGAUAUCAAGUGGAACACCAGUGGCGAAGGCGAGUCUCUGGACAUUUCCUGACGCUGAGGCACGAAAGCCAGGGGAGCAAACGGG